ensembl:rRNA 5S_rRNA 5S ribosomal RNA
AUCUAUGGCCAUACUACCCUGAAUGUGUCCAAUCUCAGAAGCUAAGCAGAGUUGGGCCUGGUUAGUACUUGGAGGGGAGAAAUAAUGAUCUCUGGUAAAGGAAAAUACAGGGGCAAUUAAAA